rnacentral:tRNA from 1 species
GGAUAUGGCUCAGUGGCACAGCACCUGCCUGGUAAGCAUGAGGUCAUGAGUUUGAUUCCCACUACCAACA